GGACUACCGGGGUAUCUAAUCCCGUUCGCUACCCUAGCUUUCGUGCCUCAGCGUCAGAAAAGAUCCAGUGAGCCGCUUUCGCCACCGGUGUUCCUUAGGAUAUCAACGCAUUUCACCGCUCCACCCUAAGUUCCGCUCACCUCUAUCUCCCUCGAGCACGGUAGUUUUGAACGCAGUUCCUCGGUUAAGCCGAGGGAUUUCACAUCCAACUUACCGCGCCGCCUACGCACCCUUUAAGCCCAGUAAUUCCGAAUAACGUUUGGACGGUUCGUCUUACCGCGGCUGCUGGCAC
rnacentral:rRNA from 1 species